ACGAACGCUGGCGGCGUGCUUAACACAUGCAAGUCGAACGGAAAGGCCCUGCUUUUGUGGGGUGCUCGAGUGGCGAACGGGUGAGUAACACGUGAGUAACCUGCCCUUGACUUUGGGAUAACUUCAGGAAACUGGGGCUAAUACCGGAUAGGAGCUCCUGCUGCAUGGUGGGGGUUGGAAAGUUUCGGCGGUUGGGGAUGGACUCGCGGCUUAUCAGCUUGUUGGUGGGGUAGUGGCUUACCAAGGCUUUGACGGGUAGCCGGCCUGAGAGGGUGACCGGCCACAUUGGGACUGAGAUACGGCCCAGACUCCUACGGGAGGCAGCAGUGGGGAAUAUUGCACAAUGGGCGGAAGCCUGAUGCAGCAACGCCGCGUGCGGGAUGACGGCCUUCGGGUUGUAAACCGCUUUCGCCUGUGACGAAGCGUGAGUGACGGUAAUGGGUAAAGAAGCACCGGCUAACUACGUGCCAGCAGCCGCAGUGAUACGUAGGGUGCGAGCGUUGUCCGGAUUUAUUGGGCGUAAAGGGCUCGUAGGUGGUUGAUCGCGUCGGAAGUGUAAUCUUGGGGCUUAACCCUGAGCGUGCUUUCGAUACGGGUUGACUUGAGGAAGGUAGGGGAGAAUGGAAUUCCUGGUGGAGCGGUGGAAUGCGCAGAUAUCAGGAGGAACACCAGUGGCGAAGGCGGUUCUCUGGGCCUUUCCUGACGCUGAGGAGCGAAAGCGUGGGGAGCGAACAGGCUUAGAUACCCUGGUAGUCCACGCUGUAAACGGUGGGUACUAGGUGUGGGGUCCAUUCCACGGGUUCCGUGCCGUAGCUAACGCUUUAAGUACCCCGCCUGGGGAGUACGGCCGCAAGGCUAAAACUCAAAGGAAUUGACGGGGCCCCGCACAAGCGGCGGAGCAUGCGGAUUAAUUCGAUGCAACGCGUAGAACCUUACCUGGGUUUGACAUGGAUCGGGAGUGCUCAGAGAUGGGUGUGCCUCUUUUGGGGUCGGUUCACAGGUGGUGCAUGGCUGUCGUCAGCUCGUGUCGUGAGAUGUUGGGUUAAGUCCCGCAACGAGCGCAACCCUUGUUCACUGUUGCCAGCACGUUAUGGUGGGGACUCAGUGGAGACCGCCGGGGUCAACUCGGAGGAAGGUGGGGAUGACGUCAAGUCAUCAUGCCCCUUAUGUCCAGGGCUUCACGCAUGCUACAAUGGCUGGUACAGAGAGUGGCGAGCCUGUGAGGGUGAGCGAAUCUCGGAAAGCCGGUCUCAGUUCGGAUUGGGGUCUGCAACUCGACCUCAUGAAGUCGGAGUCGCUAGUAAUCGCAGAUCAGCAACGCUGCGGUGAAUACGUUCCCGGGGCUUGUACACACCGCCCGUCAAGUCAUGAAAGUUGGUAACACCCGAAGCCGGUGGCCUAACCGUUGUGGGGGAGCCGUCGAAGGUGGGACUGGUGAUUAGGACUAAGUCGUAACAAGGUAGCCGUACCGGAAGGUGCGGCUG
rnacentral:rRNA from 1 species